GUAGACCUUGGCGGCUAGCCUAAUACAUGCAAGUCGAACGGAGACGGUAGCAAUACGGUCUCAGUGGCGAACGGGUGAGUAACGCGUUGGUGACCUGCCCCGAAGUGUGGAAUAACAGAUCGAAAGAGCUGCUAAUACCGCAUAAUAUCCAGAGGAUUAGAUGCCUUUGGAUUAAAGGAUUUAUUCGCUUCGGGAGGGGCCUGCGUCCCAUCAGCUAGUUGGUAAGGUAAUGGCUUACCAAGGCGAUGACGGGUAGGGGACCUGAGAGGGUGGCCCCCCACAAUGGAACUGAAACACGGUCCAUACACCUACGGGUGGCAGCAGUAGGGAAUAUUAGUAAUGGGCGAAAGCCUGAACUAGCAACGCCGCGUGUGCGAAGAAGGCCUUCGGGUUGUAAAGCACUUUUUGAGAGGAUGAGGAAGGACGGUACUCUCAGAAUAAGUCUCGGCUAACUACGUG
rnacentral:rRNA from 1 species